UAAAAAUAGUUUGAUGGCAGGAAGGGAAGCAUUUCUCUUCGAAGGUAUACGGAAAUCUUCCAUUACCGGGAUAAUCUUGCAUUCUUCAAACAAGUUAAUUUUGGCAAAUUAACAUUUAUAAUUUUAUAUAAUAAAAUUCAUGACAAAGAAUACCGAGAUAGAUUGAUUAAAAAUUGGGAGUUGAUUAUACGAUGUGAGUUAUUAGGUCUAAUGAACAUUGCAAGGCAUUAUUUCUUGGAGAACUUGAGUAGAUUUACAGGUGUAAACCAUCAAACAAGCAUUAUCUUUGAAAGGUGCUUGCUCCACACCCCCAUACGCAUAAUUAUUUUUAUAGACGUGUGCGUCGGUAUUGCUAUAUAUUGAUGGUUUCAUUAAUAGUAGGAUUGUCCAUGAUGUGCAGAUAUGCUUGAAUUUCUGGAAGACAGGAUCUGUAUUGAGGGGGAUGGUGGAAGUGGAGUCAUCUGGUUGGAGGUGUAUACUGAGCUAUUCUCUACCUUAUCCCCUUCGCCUUCGCCUUGUGAAUCAGUGGAGCCUGGUAUGCUGUCUCCUGAGUCUGAUUUUGCUGGAGAGAAGUCUCUAAUACCGCGCAUUGUAUCUCCUUCCAUUAUGUAACUUAAAGCAUAUACCACCUGCAAUGAUAUAAAAUAUUUCUUAUAAAGGGAGCAUUAUUUCUAAUUUUUCUCUUUCUAUUAUAUAGCUCAUUAUUUUCUAGGAAAGUCUUUCCCAUGAAACAAACCAGAAAAGAUAAAAACGAAGGGCGCGUUUCUCUAGUUUCCUCAAUUGAUCUGGUACUCUUUACGGGCAGGGUACAAGUUCAUGUACGAGCAGUUACGUAAUGCAAUGCUUACCUUGUCCAUUGAUAAUCUCUUUUGGGGAUCCUUACUGAGACAUUUUUCUGCAACUCGUACCAUCCAGAAUAACUGAUGAACGUCAUGGGAGUGUAAGAUCCUGGGGUCAAUUAAAUCUGGGUAGUUCCUCUCUUUUAAUAAAGGUCUUGCCUGCUCCAGAUAAACCCUUUGAAUUAAAUUAAUAAAGGAUGUUUAGAAAGGUGAGUAACUGAACCAUGGUUUUAAGAUUUUGUACCCAUCCCACUAGACUUUUCCCUCCGAGUAAUUUGUCUGUGGUCUUCAGUCCAGUGAUAAGCUGUAACAGAACCACCCCAAAUGAAUAAACAUCGGUCUUGGUUGACACUUUCCCACAUUCUGCAUAUUCAGGUGCUAGAUAUCCCAGUGUUCCCACCACUCUCGUCUCCGAAGAGUGAUCUGGAUCUCCAUGUUUAGUUCUUGCAAGGCCAAAAUCUCCUAACUUAAACACUCAACAAGUUAGCUGAAAUGAUCAUAUCGAUGUUUGGAUUAUAUAUUGUAGUAGAGUUAUUACCAGUGUUUCAUAAUCAUGUGUUACAAGGAUGUUAUUAGGUCUCAUAUCCCUAUGGAUGAUGUUGUUUUCAUGUAGAUAUUGUAAGCCUCUCGCUGCUCCCAAAGCUAUUUUCAUUCGCUUUUCCCAACUAAGAGGCCUGCGAGUAUGCUCUGCAAUAUUUUAGCAAGAUUCUUCAGAGAUUAGACUUCACCAAUUUGUAACAGUCAUAGUUACAAGAACAAAUAUAAUGUUUCUCAAGCGUUAUUGAAAUUGCAUGUGCUAUUCUUACUUGACAAAUGUUGGUCCAGUGAACCAUUGCAGACAUAUUCGUAAACCAGCAACCUAUGUUUUCCUUCAGAGCAAGAUCCCAACAGCAUGACCAAGUUCUCAUGUCUGGCUUUGCUUAGUACAUGAACUUCAGAUUUGAAUUCUUUCUCUCCCUGCAAACUUACAUUUUUAUGUUGCUUUACUGCAAUUUUCAUCCCAUCCGCCUCUCCUUUGUAGACAGAACCAAAUCCACCUUCUGACAGAAAGUUUGUAUCAGCAAAUCCGUGCGUAGCUGCUUGGAGCUCUGCAUAAGUGAAGCUCCUCUUCCAUCCUAUCUUUGGUCGUCUGUUUUUGCACAUCGUGCAGAUGGAAUUUUUGAAUACCUCAUCUUUUGAACUGUCUCCCAUCCAGUCAUUGUAGAUGACUUGCUGCUUUUGUUGGUCUGGAGUCCCCGUGUUAAGGCCCUUCUCUUGAUUAUAGUGAUCAAUGCCAAAUGGGGAUUGUUCUACUGCGGAGUCCUGUUCAGAGUUUGUAGCAUACUGUUCCCAUUGACAACAGGGUGAAUACUGUGUCUGGGGAAAACUAGAAGCUUCAACAUUUCCUAGGCUUGAUGGUGUAGUCUUUGAGGCGAGCUGCUCAUUUGAUGAGGAUCUAGAAAAAGAGCUAAUUUUCUUUUUACUAUUCCAUGAGAGUUCUGCACGAUCAUCGCCUACUUUUUCUUUUACUGAGCUGGUCCUAUGUGGGCUUAGAGAUUCUGCAAGAACAUGAAUCCACCCUUGUUAAAGCAUAGAUGUUCUAUUUGUUUAUAUGCCCAUUUUUGGGCAUGCCGCGAGAAAGAGAUGUAGCCUGUUUAUUUUUUAUACGCUUUAUAUUGUGAUUCACAUUAAUAAAUUUUAAAAUAUUUAUGAAGCUACUUACUGCUAGGAGUUUCUACUUGUGGUGGACUUCCUGGUAUCAUUUCAUCAUAGGUUACUUGGUCUCUGUCUCUUCUGGGUCUGGCUGUAAUAGGGUGUUCAUGCUUAUUGUCCUUUCUUACUUUUGGCCCUCUCAAAUGCUCGAUAGAGUUGUUGCGCUUCAUCUUUGAUAUGCCACAAUAGAGCUUAUCCAUGAAAAACUUAUCUUCUUUUUUCAUAUGCCUGUUGCAUAAAUGCACGUUAAAAAAAUUAGAGAAUUUGGUUCUGUUUUAUCUGUUAAGGGAAGACAAUACUAGAUUUGUCUAACCAUAUUGUGGAGAACCUGCAGCUAAGCAGUAGAGCUCUUUAGUAGCUCUACAACUAUCACUUAAUUAUGCUUGUGUCUCACAGUGUCUCAUAAUACAUAGAUGGAAAAAAAGAAAAACCAAAGACGUGACCUCAUCAGGGCCAAAAUCUCCCUCUUGUAUAAUAUAAAAAAAAUGUAUAUGCAGAUGCUUCCCAAGUGAACUAGUGACACUUAGGUGUCACUAGUAACUGUAAUGGACUAAACUAGCAGAAAAUCUUCUCUCCCUAUAGAUUAGAAUGUCUAGUACAAUGAUUUUGGACUUAGACAUUUACUUGGUUAGCAACCCAAGAAGAAGAUUAUACCGAACCAUGGGCAACAUCUUGAAAUUCUCACUGACCUGUCAAGUAUUACCCAUGUUGCCUUCAAAUUUCUGGCAGCCUUUAAGGCAACUGUCCUUGAUGAGGAGCCUGCAAGUACCUCUAUACCGAACUGAAUCUGAGAAUUUUCAGAUACAAUAUCAAUUUAAAAAAAAGAAAAAUUGGUAAGUGAAAAACAUGACUUUGUAACCUUUCCUGUGAUUUCUCAUUGGUAUAUGAGCAGCCUAGAAAAAGCUAAUCACGGAAUAGGAUUCUUAAGAUGGGGCUUUAUAGUAUGAUACUAUGAGUAAUUCAUUCUUUUUACUUUUGAUAUGUUCUUCUGACAUUAUCACAAAGAAGUAACAACAAGAUGUUGAGAAACUAUGAAUCUGGCAACAGAUAUUUCACCUCUUCUGCUUCACAGUGCUUAGAGAUCUCCAUAAUCUCUGGAUUAUUUAUGUACUCUUCCUGCCUCCUUGCAACUUCUUCUGCAACAAUUUUGUUGUUUGUGCUGAACAUGGAAGUGGAAUCCACCUUGAUUUUGUAUCCCACUGAAAAAGAAAAAAGGAAAGGAGGAUAAGAAAUGGGUGUUUGGACAGAGGAAAGGAAGGGAUAGAGGAGAAACCAGUGAUAUUCUGUAUGAUACAACUGAUUUUUAUUGUUAAAAUAUUUUCUGAAUUUUCUUGCAUGCUUUUUCGCUUCCUUUACGAGUCAAAAAAAGUAUCAAUGCUUACGGAGUUUCCCAGGUCUCCUGAAAAAUAACGUACUAGGGUUAUUAACCUGGUGAAGAACUCCUAUAACUGUAAGUUUGUCUCCAGGCUUAAGUGAUAAGCCUUCAAAGAUGGAUGCAAUUGCGCCCGGAUUACAUUCCCCUGAUGCAUCCUGGAUCACCACCACUCUUUGAGGUUCUGCAGACAUGUUUGUUCUGGUUGAAAGCUUCUACUAUGAAUGUUGAUAGGCACUAUGACNNNNNNNNNNNNNNNNNNNNNNNNNNNNNNNNNNNNNNNNNNNNNNNNNNNNNNNNNNNNNNNNNNNNNNNNNNNNNNNNNNNNNNNNNNNNNNNNNNNNNNNNNNNNNGUAGGACAAUAUGUUGUAAGCGAUGGAAGCAAAGCACUGAAGGAAACACAGGUUGGUUGGUAAAUUGUUUGUUUUUGUUAGAAUAUUAUAACACUUUUGGAGCCUUACACAUCAGCUUAAAAUAUUGGUUACUACAAAAUUAUUGAACCUUUUUGUGAUACCCACAACAGCUGCAUUGUGACGGCUGAUAAUGCUUUGAUUGUCCGGUAGCUGAGUUGCUAUGGAUCCGAAACAGCUAGCGGGAAGCUGGUUUCAGCAAAAUGUUUUAUUUGAGCAAGAUUACUGCAGUUACGCAGUAACCAAUACAUGUAAAGCAUUUGGUUUUACUCUUUCAGAACCAUAUUAUUAUGACAAAAGUUAUCCUGUUGGCUUCAGCGAUAACAUUCUUUUUAGGUCUGCAAAGAAUCAUUUGCCACUUAUUGUUUUUGACUUUGCUAUGUCUGGAGCUGGGUCUUUUGGAGUUUUAAUGCGACUCACCAACAGUUUUACUCCUGUACAUGGACUCAUGCAAUUGAAGUCCAUCUAGUCAACAAAAUUCCCAUGCCUUAAUAGCAAAAAAUGGAGUAGAUCGAUGAAAAUAGAUGGUUGUAAGUUAGUAGGAUUAUAUUGAGACAAGGACAAGAAUGAUGCUCUUCAAGUGUUAUAUAGUUCCAUUGGCUAGUGUUUUCUUUUUUCCUUUUUUCUUUUUGAGAUUGGUUUCUUUGGAUGGUUUUAGCAAGCAGAGAAGUAGAAAAUUUCUUUGAAGCACUUUCUUUUAAUGUACUGGCGUUAUCCCCCAUUUUAUUGUCUACAUAUUAAUCGUUGCAAAAAUUAAGCAUAUAUAUGAUCAAUGCUGGAACUAUGUUCUAUUUCCUAUGCUUUGUCUUAGUUGUUUAUGUCUGUUUCUUUUCUGUCUUUGCCAACAGAUUAACCUUAUUAUUAUUACUGUGAUACUUGGGAUUGUGAUGGGGCAUAUACUCAUUUGGAAGUACUCAUUGUGUUUCAGUAAUAAUACAUCUCAGAUCCUUAUGCUCAGACACUUACAUGCUUGUUUGGAAAUAAGAGUAGCUUACCAAAUGUCAAAUUAAAUAUAUAUAAUCAAAUAGGCUCACCUAGCGUUUAUCACCAAAAUAAUAUUGAAUUAAUGCAGUUAACUUAUGAUUUAAGGAAGAGUAAUGGGAUCUCAAGUUGAUGAUUCCAAAGUAGAGUACAAUGUAUUUAUUAGUUGUCUAGGUUCAAGGCCAAUACAUCUCUUCUGUGUUUCUCUAUAUAGGGUUUUUACUUUUGUUUUUUCAGUAAUACAACUGAUGAUUUCAGAGUUAUAAACAUUCUAUUUUAAUUUUUUAAAGAAAAAUCACAGUUUUAAUUUUUAAAAUUUUUGUUUUGACAUCCAAUAAAUUUACGUAUUUUUUAAUAUUCUUUUAAAUUUCACAAAUAUAUUCCAUAAAUAUAUAUUUGUAAUAAAUUUCUAUAGAAAAAAUUAUUUAUUUUUAACAAUUAAUGUUUUAUCUAAACAUACAAUUACUUAUUAUUAAAAUAAAAAUUUAUCUACUUUAAAUAACUUAAAAUAUUAAUGUUGAAAACAGCUUUUCAGUAAUUCCAAAAAUUCACUUAAUCUACAUUUCGACAAUGUCUCAAAUAUUAUUUCUACUUAUUGUUGCCAUGCAUUAAGAGUUUUAUAAUUUAUAUUUGCCGGAAGUACAAUGGAUAAUUGCUAAAAUUUCUGCAUUCAAUAUUAUGUGCGUCAAUAUAUAUAUAUAUAUAUAUAGUUGAAUAGAACGAUUCUUAAACUUUUAACAAUAUCACGAAGAACUUUAAUCAUAUAUUUUUCACACCCAUCUGGCGUAAUAUAUGUAAAUAUAUGUUUUAUGUAUUUGCAUUUUCCGUUAGUUUUAAAAGGAAAAAAAAAAAACUUGAGCUUCCAAAAAAUGGAAACAAAACUUAGGGUGAAAUUAAUUUGAAUUUAUAAAGCCAAAGGUCCAAGAUUAAAAAUAUAUAUAUAUAUAUAUAUAUAUGACAGAAGUAAAGACAAGAAGAAAUAUAACUAAACAACUUUUCUUAUUGUGAAGUUGACCACCCAGUUCCGGUACUCUCUUACUCGUUUCUUGACUACACAGUAUCUGAGUACUAUCUCUUACUCAUCUCAAAGAAGACAAAAAGAAAAAAUCUUAAAAGUACAAAAUUCAUUCUAAUAUAAAGUUAUUCACUUGAAUAUUAUAGCAUCACUUGGAAAGAACACCUAUAGCCACCUAAACAAGUAAUCAACUACGCCAAAUAAUUAUAAACACUAUAUAAAAAGAUCUCCAAAACUAGUAGAGAACAUACAUAUUUUCCAAGAAAAAAUCUAUAGUUAAAUAGAUAAACCCAUUCCUAUAACACCAUAAAAUUGUUGUUCAAGUUCAAUUAGAAACCCUCCCCUCAAUCUCCUCAGAUGCUACAAUUAUAUAUAUACCACCAAUACAUUUGGAAAGCACAAGCAGCCCACAGCCAAGGAGAUGAAAAAGGACAAAAUGGAUCUCUAUUAACUUAGAAAUUUCUAUCUAGAAGGCUNNNNNNNNNNNNNNNNNNNNNNNNNNNNNNNNNNNNNNNNNNNNNNNNNNNNNNNNNNNNNNNNNNNNNNNNNNNNNNNNNNNNNNNNNNNNNNNNNNNNNNNNNNNNNNNNNNNNNNNNNNNNNNNNNNNNNNNNNNNNNNNNNNNNNNNNNNNNNNNNNNNNNNNNNNNNNNNNNNNNNNNNNNNNNNNNNNNNNNNNNNNNNNNNNNNNNNNNNUAUUCCUCCUUCCUAGCUUUCUCUGUAAGUUUUGCAUUCUGCCUCUCCAUCCACCUCUUAUGAUCACGAGAUUCAGCUUGCUCAAGAUCAAACUCAUCAGCAUGUGGGAAUUCCCUCCAACUUUUAAAAGUGUACCAAAAGUUAUAAAAUGCAUCGACUUGUUUCAGCGAAGUACUUUCAUCACCCAGAGUUGGCACUGGUUGGUUCACAGACCAACGCCCAUUCCUCAUAAAAGCUGGACCGAACACCUUGAAAAAAUCUUGUGGGGUACAGUCUGUUGGGACUUCAUCAUCAAAUUCAUCUGAUGAAUCAUAGAUCCUUCUCUUUAUAGGAUCAAUCAGAACCUCAUAUGCUUCUUGGAUUAACUUAAAGUGAUUCUCUAUUUCAUCCUUCUUGGCUUGUUUUGCAUCUUCAGUCUCUUCAGCAAGAAGAAGAGCAGCCAACUUAUCAGGAUGAUGCUUUAAGGCAGCCUCACGGUAGCUUUUCCUGAUCUGAUCCUCUGUGGCAAGGUACCUUAAGUGGCUCAAUCCCAAGAGAGCAUAGUGAUCCUGUUGCUUACCUCCAGCACCAGAUUUCUUUUUUCCUUUACUGCUAUAUGAAUCAAAUGAUGGUAUAUGCGCCUUUUCAUUAUCAUCAGAGACAAUCUGAUCCUCAGCAUCUGCACCUUCCUCCUCACAACCAAGGACUUUUAGAGCAGCUGAAUGAAAAGCAUGUCCAGCAGGUUCAAAUCUUAAAGCCUUGAUGGGAAGGCAAUUUGAAGAAACAUAGAUUGGCUGUCCAUCUACAAGCUCUUCAGUGUAGGAAAUAAGCCGAAGGCUUGUGAGGACUGCCAUAAUAUUCAGAAUAGAUCAACACAAUAAUAACCAAGAAUUACUUCAGCCCACUCCAGUGUCCCGUCUAAUAUAUGAAAUGUGACUGUAGCUCCAAAACUGCAUAAACGAAUGGGGCUCAAUCAGUGAAGCUCAUACAGGAGUUGCUGCAGACGCAUAAUAGAAUAAACAGAAACAUAAUAACUUUUGCUAACUUGUGAAGGUGCCUCUAAGUUGCUAACUGGGGUAAGUUCCAGAGAGCAAAGCCCAUAGUAAAAGACCCCAGGUUGUAUGUGUCAAAGAAAGCAGUGUAGCAACAGCAUCCAAACUAUUAAUAGGUGCAUGUUCAAUAUGAUCUUCAUGUUCCUAAUCUUUAACUGUUUCACGCAAGGUAUUCUAUUUGGAUACCUUUAAUAUUCUGGCUUUGUGCACAGACUUUACUGAAUGCCCAAGUACAAGUGAUGUAAACGAUAGUCGAUGGAUGAUUGUGCCUUAUUUUGGGAAGAAGGUAAAAGAAGCUUAAUUAACAAAAUCUAUAUGUUUUUCUUGUCCCAUGCUCAAAGGUCAAAAGAACAUGACUGAAAGAUUCUACCCAAGGAGCUAAACUUUUAUACCAGAAAAGGUAACUUCUGUACAUUACCAGGUAGGACGAAUAAAGAUUCUUCGAUUAAUUUGGAAAAUUCCUUUAAAAAACCUUCCUUUACAAGAAUUGGAUCCUUUUCUGGCCCUCUUUAUUUUAUCAUGGCUAAUGGUUCAAGAGAAGCACAUGACUUAAAAAGAAUUUUGCUAAAUGUGUCAAACUGUUGUUUCCCGAAAAAAUAAGACAAAGAAUACCGUGGCGUACCAGGUAAGAAGAGAAAAGAUACUUUAGUUAAUCCUUCCAAUUUGAAGAUUCAUUCAGCAAAACAUAUCUUUUUUUUUCCAGAAAAGGAUUCUUUUUCCUACCAAAUAGGCUAGUCUUCCCCUCCAUACAUCCCCCAUACCAAGAAAAAAGCAAUCUGAAUGUCAAAUUCUAUGUUGGCAGGACAAAAUAAUGCAUGCAACAUGAAAGAUAAUGUACCCGAAAAGAGAACUCAAUACAAAAAAUUCCAAAGCACUAAAAUAGUGCUAAUGCAGAUUGCAGAUAAAUAGAUAGCUAACGAAUACAUUCAAUUAAUUGACUAUCGAAAGAUAAGAAAACAAUAAAAAUUAUCUCAUCUACAUUUAAAGUAUGUAGGGCUACAUAAAUUUCUUUUAUCAAUUCCAAAUUUUCUUUAUAACAAAGUCUCAUUCGAUGUAUAACCAAGCGAACAAGAAAGAGUCACAACCCUACUCCAAGAGAAAAAUGAUAACAACUCAAAAGCAAAUAUCAAAAAGACCAGAAAUCCCUCCCAAUCCCUGAGCUACAACCUGUGAGAAAAGACCCUUAGCAAAUUAGAGGGGUACAGUAAAGACUAUCCAUCAACAACUAUGCAGCAAACGAAAUGAUCCGGAAAAAAAAAACAAUCCUAAACAUCGGGCGAAAACCAGCACUCCCCAGCACGCGAAAGCCAAUGAUUAUCAAAGAAUAUAAGUUAUAUUUCAACGGGGACUAGAAGGGUUUAAAAGUUUAUCAAAAGCAAUAGGAGAGAAUGAGAUAGAUGGCGGCUUCAAACUAAGAAAUCGCAGCUGCCGAGUGCCACCGUUUAGCAGCUGGUAGGAGGUCGGAUCGUAUAGAUAAGCUGGACCUCACACGUCGGCUAAGUAACAAGAUAUAUAUAUGUAUAUAUAGCAAACAAUGAGCAUGCGACUGAGAUGCAAAGAUAAAGGGGAAAGAAUGAUGAAGAAAAGUACUCACUGGAGCCACCAAUCGGCUAUGGAACGGAGAAAACAGAGGACGGCGUCUGGUGCUGGUCGUAUACGUUUUCCGAUUUGCAGCAGUAGCAACAGAGAGAUGAGAAGAAGAGUGGAGGAAUAGGAGUUGCGUGGUUAGGGUUGAGGUGUUAUAUGUAUUGCAUGUGGAAUUAAUUGUAAUUUCGAUGGUUUGUUGAGGGUAAUUUUGUCCCAAAAAUUUGCUGAUUAAUCAGUAUAUAUAUAUAUAUAUAUAUAUUUUAAGAGGUAGUUGUAUUAUAUAAAGGAAUUUCUGGUUUUUAUUUUUUUAUUUUUCAUUCUAUAAUAAAAAUUAUAAUUUGAGAUAUUAACGUAAAUUUCAAAUUUUAAAAAAAUGUAAAUUAUAUUACAAUAAUAAAAUAACUAACCAUAUAUCAAAUGUUAUAUAUUUUUUCACUUUAACCAAAUUUAUAAGACAUUUAUUUUCAUACAAUAUAAAAUUUUAUAUGAAAAUUUUUUAUUAUUUAAAGUAAUGAUUAUAAUAAUAAAUUAUCUAUUAUUAUUUUCUGUUAAAUUAUUUUUAUUUACGUCAUAAAAAAAAAAAAUUUAUAUUAAAUACCUUGUUUCUUAAUUCUGUUUCAGUUCCCCCCGGAGGCCUUAUCUCUCAUUCUCAUGUCUCUUUCCCUCAAAUUCUCCGGCCUUUUCUCAUCUAUUUGGCCGUACCUGGUAAUCUCCUUCUUCAACUUCUUUCUUUAUUACCUUCUCUAAUGGCUUACUUUCUUUCUUCUUCUUCUUCUUCUCUCGGCUUUUAAUUUAUGGUCUGUUGGUUCAAGGGUUUCAGAGAGUUUUCCCAUUUAAGAGUUUACAGCACUUGCAGACGCUCAUACUCACCCCAACCGAAGAACUUCUUCGUUUAUCAACUAAAUCGUAGACCUAUUUGCUCUAUCAACUGCAGCAGCAAUAAUGUCAGUGACUUCAGUUUCUGUAUUUUGUUUUUACCCAUGCUAAUAUAUAGAGAGAAUUUUAAACAAUUACUUUUUUGAAGAAGAAAAAAAAUUGAAGAACAUGCGGUUCAACAUUUCCAUUAAACUUAUGUUUCAAGUGAAUUUUAUUUCCAUUGCUUAUCAUGGCUAUGGUUUUUAGCAAAUGGACCUCUUUUGGUUGCGAAUAUUGGUUAAUAGUUCGUUCCAUCCCUUGCAAUCACACACAGAUAUGCAUUGGUUCCUUUUGCUCUUUAUUUCAUCUCAUUGCUAUUAUUGGUUAAUUCACAUAAAUAAGUUUUCCAGAUUUCUUGGGUUUGUAAAUUUGUUCAUCAUAUUACUUGUUUGGCUUCUCCCUGAAUUAAAUUAUAUAUUUUUUGGUGUAUGGUUAGGAUUAUGGCGGUUCAUCAGAUGCUACUCACAGCUUCUCGCCUAAUGACAAAGGUUUUCAUUUUAUCCCCAAAAUUGGGUUUCCCAAUUUUACAGUUUGUCCACCAAAAGCAUAUGUAUAAACAGGGAAAAUAAGUAUACUGGAUGUCCAUUUUGUGUAUAUAGCCUUCAAAUUUUUGAGAAUUUAUUGGAUAAUUUUUGUUUUAUUCUGUAUGCUUUAAUCUCAUUUGUGUUUUUGAUUCUUUCCAAGGUUCAGAUGAAAAUACUAGAAGUGGCUGGCAAGGAUCACUCUCAUCUAAAGAGUACUUACCAUUUGCCUUAAAAUGUACUAGCAUGAGCUCACACAAAAUAUGUGGGUCUAAAUCUUCUUCGCUUCUCGUUAUCUGGAUUCAGGAAAAGGAGCAUAAUUUUCAUUUAAGCAUUAAAAUUCAAGUAUCCGUGGUUUCUUUCAUUAGUAAAAAGAUGAUCAUAAGGCUUUUGAUAGUAUGGUUCUAUUAUAUUGUAACAAAGAAGAGAAGCAAAGGAGGACAUGAGUUCUAGUCCUUCUUCCCUUUGCUUCUCUUUCUUAGGCACUCAUCCUAUUUUGAAGGUACAAGUCCUGAGAAUCUGAGUUGGAUCUCUUAGUAUCUUCUUUCUCUUUGCUUCUCAGCCUCCUCCAGCUUUUAUAACAUUACUUAAGUCCUAGCAUCUCAUGACUGCACGUUAUUUAUUGUGGCCAUUGGAAAACAGGAGCAGAGAGUGGAUAAGCAACAUUUGAUUUAGUUUGACUACCCUUUUGUCUCCUUAUUUUCCUUUUCUAUAAGAAAUAUUUGCGGAGCUCUCCUUUUCUAGUUGAUACCUUUAGCAUGUACAAAUGUGACUUGGGAAAAAGAAACCAAACUCUGCUUCCUAUUUUUUUAAAAAAAAUUUUCUUUUAGAUCUUGCAUUGAGCAUUUUUUUUAGGACUUGAAAUCUUCUCCAGCUGUGUUUUUCUUAAAUGUACAUGGUAAGAUGAAUUGUCAUUAUGAGUUGAUCUGCAUUCCUCAUUCUAGGACACUCCUUGUUUCUCUUGGUGUUAACAUUAUAAUGACUAAUGAAAAUGAAAAAGAGGGAAGAGUGGAGGGAUAGUGAGGUGAUGAUUGUAUGUUAGAAAUCUUUGUAUCUUCUUUUUAUGGCUGUCACUAGACUAACUUGUUCAUGAACAGUUCAUGCUUGGCUUGAGCAGUUAUGUUAGUAGGGCCAAGCUUGAAUUGAAAUUUAGCUCAUUAUAUGGUCAUUAGCUUUAAUUAGCUAAACCUAAACUCACGGGAAUUUGAUUCCAAAACUCACGAAGGUCUCGAAUUAUAGUUAAUCCUUGAUAUUAUUUUGAAACUUACGAGUAUACAUCUACUUAUGUUUCAGUGGUAUAUUUACUAGAACUUAACAAAUGAUCUAAAAACAUUAUUCAUAUUAAUGCAAAUCUGAGUGUACUGAAGCUCAAACUUGAACUUAUUGCACUCAUUUUCUUAUUUAGCUUAAAUCAAGCCAAAUUUUAGGCUUGAAACAAUCCCAAAUCUAGUUCCAAGUUGAAUCUGAGUCAUGAUAUUGAGCUAAACUAAGCUCGUAUACUUAAACUUGUGUUCUUAGUUUGUUUCUACUAAUAUUUUUUUUUUAUUAUCUUGGGCUUGUUUAUGUAUUUUUACCGUUAGGUUUCCUUAAUCUACUUUCAGGGUUUUGAUGAGAUUGAGGAGAUACGGAGUUGCUGGAAUAUUAUCAUAUGGACUAUUGAAUACAGCUUAUUAUCUUACAACAUUUCUUCUGGUAUGGUGAGUUAAAUAUUAUGAACAUAUAUCUUUGAUUGUUGAAUAACCUAGAACAGAAUGGAAUUCAUGCCUCAAUCUUUAAUUUACAGCCCUUGACUGUAGCUUAGAUUUGAACGAUGUGAAAGAAUUCAAGCUUCUGCUUGUAUUACAUGUUCACCUGCAUAAACCACAAACUCAAUAAAGUAAAUUUAAAGUAAUUCAUGAUGACAAUGGCUAAGUAAUCAAUAUCAUCAGGCACAAUUGCCUCUCCAAGAAUCAGUAAUAGAAUAUAUUGGGAGAAGCCUCCCAGACUCUGUAGCAACCAUGUAGGUCAUUCAGAUUAUAUAGUUCAUGUACUAAAAGAGAAUGCAUUUGAACCUUAGGUUUUUUGUUGCUCCAGUACCUGGAAGAAUGGGUUAUAUUGCAGCUGUUGAAAGGUGACGUGUUUUCUUUUCAAAUGUUUUUUUAUGAGUUGCGACUAUGAGUUCUGAAAAUUUUUGUCCUUACAGAUUUCUCAAGGUAAUGGCCAUGGUAUGGGCUGGAAGCCAAGUUACCAAGCUUGUAAGAGCUGGAGGGUGAGUUGCUGGAACUCUUGGGGCCCCACUUAAGUUGAGAUCUUAUAAGUUGAUAUCUUAAUGCAUCAUUAAUUCGAUUUAGAAAAGAAAACUUUAAGUUGUGGUGAUGGAAAGUAAAUAAAUUCUGCUUUCUCAUAUUUCCUUUUGAAGCUUUUGAGUAUGAGUUUGUUCAAUGCUUACUUGGCUUUCAUCAUUAAUACUACAUGCAUGUUUUAACUGAACAUUCAUCUUAGACCUAUAUCUGUUUGCUUGGGAAUUUGGCUAUAGAUCUUCCUUUAAUUGCUCAUUAGUCAAAUCAUUAGCCUUUUUUGUUUGGUUGCCUUGUAGUUGGGGAUCUUGAUUUUCACCUGGUUGAACCUGGGAUAUCAAAGGCUGUUGAUAAGGAUUUUAUGUUAAGUAGAAUACUAUAUUAUUUAGAGUUCUAAUAAUAUAAUUAUAUUUUAUAAUUAGAGUUCAAAUAGAAUAAGAAUAACUACUCUAUAUAUAUCUUCUAAAUGUAAACAAAACAAGAAAUAAAAAAUUAGAAAUUUAUUUUUUCUAAAAACUUCAUGAUAUCAAACCGCCGGUAAAAGGCUGCAGCCGCACAUUCGCAAACGUCGGUAAAAAUUAAAGCCACACAUUCGCAGGCGUCGAUAAAAAGUGUAGCCGCACCUCCGAAAGCACUAGUAAUAAUAUACAACUGCACGACCAUAAGUGCUGGUAAAAAGUUGCAAUCGCACAUCCUCAAGUGCCAGUAAAAAGGUGCGGCCGUACAUCUGGAGACGUUGGUAAAAAUUAUAGCCGCACAUCUAGAAAUGUUAGUAAAAAAUUACACCCGCACAUCAAUAAAUGCAGGUAAAAAAGGCCACAUCAUUACCUUUUUUCUGCGCAUGUUCAGAGAUUUGUCCGAAGAAGAUGAGCCAAGCCGACUUUGAGCCGUUUUAGAGCUAAGUUUGAGUCGUUUUAGAACUAAACCCGAGUUGUUUAGAGCCGAACCAGAUCUGCUUCCGUUUUUUGGCUCCUUGGUGCAGAUAGAAGGUUCAUUUUUCAUUACUGGGUAUUUUUUCUUCUUAUUUUUAGUAUUCUAAAAUGACAGAAGUAAAAGAGUGAGUGUUACUAGUUUUGAUAAUUUUUCGUUGCAAAUUAGUUGCGUAAAACUUGGUGGAACUAAUUAUCUUACUUAGUUGAGAUCUUGUUUAUUGUUCAUCAAAUCUAGAGGAUUGCAGGGUUACAUUACUAGUAAGAUGAAGAAAACAGAUGUUAGUAGUUUAAAAUAUAAUAGAUGAGAUUCUGAGAGCUCAUUGGUAAUGUCAUGACUCAUAAAUUUUAUGCAACCUUAUAUUGUCAGAACAUAUCUGUUGCUUAACACUGCCAAAAAAAUAUAGAAUGCAGCAUCUCUUACAUAUUCACAGAUGGAUAAUGACGUUUAGAUUUAUGAACUCUGGGAUAAAGUUCAUGGUACAAAGUAAGAAGAAAUAACUAUUUCUCAAUAUUUUUCUAAACUAAAUAAAUUAUGGCAGGAGUUGGAUUACUAUCAAGAUUUUCAAGUGGAGUGUCAUGCGGAUGGAGUUAAAUUGAUAGAAAAAGAGCAAAUUUAUAAUUUUUUAGCUGAUUUGAAUACCGAAUAUGAUCAAAUACGGGUUUAAGUGCUUGGUAAUGAUCAUUUUACUUCAUUAGAACAAACUUAUGCUUAUAUUUAGCAAGAAAAUAGUAGAAGAAAUAUUAUGCUUCACAUUGCACCAGUUGAGAAAGCUGGAUUAGUUGCUCAGUCUGAUCAAUUCAGAUAUAUAUAGAAAUGUAACUAUUGUGGCAAGCCAAGACACACUAGGAAAACUUGUUGAAAGUUGCAUGAACGACCAUUUAGAGGUCGGGGAGGAAGAAGAAGUGGAACCACAAGAGCUCAAGCAAAUUUUGUUGAAGCUAGGGAAACACCUGGUUCACCAUCCAUUGGAGCCUUUUCCACAGAAAAAAUUCAAAAUGUGAAGCGGCUUUUGAGUCAACUUAACUCUCCAUCAACUAUUGGCACAUCAAAUAUGGUAAAAUUAGGUAUUGUUCAUUCUAUUUCCACUCCUGAUAAUUGGAUCAUAAACUCUGGAGUUAACAGACGCAUGACAGACUCUUCUAAAAAAUUAUUAACCUAUUCUUCUUGUAAAGGGGAUAAUGUCCGUAUAGCAAAUGGGUCAUACACCCCCGUGUCGGGAACAGGUUCCAUUAAUUGUAUUUCUACUAUUACACUGUCUUCAGUUUUACAUGUGUAUAGUUUUUCUGAUAAUAUUUUAUCUAUAAGUGUCAUAUCUAGAGAUCUUAACUGUAAAAUUGAAUUUUUUCCCGAUCAUUGCAUCUUUCAAGAUCUUCAAACCGGGAAGAGGAUUAACACUAGUAGACUGUAAGAUGACUUACAUGUCUUGAAUAGACAUCUGAAUUUAAUUGGAAAUCAUGCAACCAUUGAGAAUAAAGAAGUCAAUAUGGAGAUACUACAAUGGCACACGAUUGGGACAUCCUUCCUUUUUUGUUUUAGAAAAAUUAUAUCGUAAAUUAUUCAAAAGAACCUCUAUGGAGUCUUUAUUUUGUGAUGCAUGCGAACUUGCUAAACAUAAGAGAAGCUCUUAUCAUUUAAGUAAUAAUAGAUGUAACGACUCCGAAAAUUUAAAGAAAAUGUAUGUAUUAAAAUGUUCUAAGUGCGGAAGCGAAAUAAAAAUUAUGAUUAACAUCUCUUACACAAUAACCAAAAACGUUUUCAACGUGUGAAAGAAUAAACUAAGUAAGGUAAAUACUAGUAAUGAAUGCUAUAAAUAAAACUAUGAAAUCCUUAGGCGUCUACUUGCCGUCUUCCUGCGGGACGGGCUCGGGAACCAAAUCCUCCUGAUAUGAAAUGGUUAAAUAAGGAAUGAACUACACUAGCCCAAUAAAGACAUCACACUAUCUCACUGUCACAGAAGUAAAGGUUGGUAGAAAACAAAAAACGACCAAUGGAGCAUAAUUUAUAACAAACUCAUUUAUUAAUAAUAAAAACCUUUACUGUCCACUUAACUCGGUGAGUUUCGUGAAAAUAACAUAUGAAAACAAUAACAUUAUAACCAUCAUAAAAUCAUAUACACUUUGUAACGUAACACAUGUUAUACUUUUGUACUUCAAUAAUCAGACAACAAAUUUUCUCUUUUACUAGCCUACUAGUAUCCAUGGGGAUCCAUAGGGGGUCUCCGCUACACGUGAACCAUUAACAUUAAUAACUUAAUUACAGGGCCGUCUCUAUACCCCGUCCGGUAUGGGCGCCAAAUCAUAAAGUCUCCAUACCCCUGUCCCGUAUGAGAGAUCAUGUUCCCGGUAGGCUUUCCUACGGACCCGGUCCGUCCACCAUCUCCCAAGAUAUCUAGUUAGGCUGUCGACAUUAUCUAUUUAUCAAUUCACAUACUUUUUUUUUUUGUCUCAAUUAUCCAAUCAAAUAUAAACACGUAAAACAGUAAUGAACAUCAAACAAGACAACAACGGGUUCACGAUAAUUCAAACCAUAAUAAACGAAACCGUGGUUCAUGCAUACGAAACCAUAAAAUAAAUACAUCAGAUACCAUACUGCAUUCUAAACUGUAAAAUAAAUCAAUCAACAACUGACCGAAAAAUACAUCAGACUCGGGCUCCAUUAGCAAACUUAAUUAAUUAUACACAAUUCAUAAAAUACCGUUUUAUCAUUUAUUGAGUUUUAAUACCGUGAUAGAAAAUAGGGUGAGAAAUCUUUACAUGUUUCGGGGUCUGAAAUCGGCUUUACACCGCGCCUACGGGCAGUCCUUAGAUUCUCUAAAUUUUCUCCCGGGAACUGAAAUACACUUCCGGUACCUGCACGUGUCCCCAAAAAAUCUCAAAUCAGACCCAGGGCCCUUUUGGUCAAUAUCGGAAUUCCAGCACGGCGGCUCCGCCAUGCUCCGGCGACGGCAUCGUCGCACGCGGCGGCGAUCUACCUCGGGUUGGCUGUUUUCGGCCAAACUUGCAUUGGUUCCUGCGAUAAAACAACCCUAGGGCCAUCAGUGAGCCAAAAAAUUACGAAAAAUCAUGACUUACCGGCGGCAGAGCUCUCGGGUGCGGCAGCUUCUCCGCCGCGAGUCGCGAUUUGAUGUUUUGCUCCGGUCAACCUAUAGAGAAAAGGACGGUAAUAGUGGUGUAAAAAUUGCAUCGAAUGGGAACCGGGAAGGGCCUCAUCGGAGGCAAAAAUCAAGGGAAGUCGCGGCGGCGCCGCUGGACUUCGACGGUGUUUUCCAGCCGAUUGGCCGGUGCUUUGGCUCCGAUUUGGCCAUAGGCGGAUUCAUCAUCGAAAAACGAACCAAUGAGAUAAAAUUUACCUCGUUUGGCGGUCGGAAAAUCCUCCAGUGCGGCGGCAGGUGGCGGCAGCCGGCUCUUCCGGUGACUGGUUCUUCUUCUCUGGCGAGGGUAUUGGCGGCUAGGGUUUAGGGUUGGGUGUGGAUGAGGUUAUUUAUAACCUUUCUCUUUUAAUCUCAGCCGUCCAUCACGAUUUAAUUUGGGCCGUCCGAUCGCGAUUAAAAUGGGAAUAAAUAUGGGUCGUCCAUCGCGAUGCGAUCUAGGCCGUCCGUGCGUGAUUCAAUCUGGGUCGUCCGCACGCGUGAGAUCUGGACCGUUCGAUCGCGUGCACACGGAUCGCCCACAUGGCUUCGUCCCGCGUCAGCUUCCUUGCCACGCAGUGUGUUCUGGUUAGCCGGGGUUGCUGACUGGGCUGCUGACGUGGCACAACUUUUCUAAAUUGCGUUUUGACCUCCAGUUUUCGAUUUUCUUUUCAAAAACACUCUCAGAAUUCAAAUUUUCACCCAUUUUUUCCAAAAUCAAUUUCAAUUAAAUUCCAAAAAUAAUUUUACUCUAUUUUAUUUUAUUUUAUUUUAUUCUAUUAAAUUAAAUUAAAACCUUAUAAAUUAAAUAUUAAAAUAGAAUAAAAUUAAACAAAAAUUCUAAUAAAAAUUAAAAUAUAUUAAAUACUAAAAAUACAAUUUUUUGGGUGUUACAACUCUCUCCCUCUUAAAGAAAUUUGGUCCCCCAAAUUUGCCUCUUACUCUUGGUCGAACAAAUGGGGAUACUGGACUCUAAAGUCUGAUUCUAGUUCCCAGGUAGCCUCCNNNNNNNNNNNNNNNNNNNNNNNNNNNNNNNNNNNNNNNNNNNNNNNUGCGGAGUAUCCUAUUCUUUCGGUCCAUGAUACCGACUGGUACUUCUUCAUAUGAUAAGUCAUCUUGGAGUGGAAGCGGUUCAUGAGCCAAGACAUGAGAGGGGUCCGAGUUGUACUUACGUAGCAUGGAUACGUGGAACACAUUGUGGACCUUGGAGAGCUCUGGAGGCAGUGUUAGUCUGUAGGCAGCAAUACCAAUCCUGUCUAAGACUUCAAAAUGUCCAAUAAAUCAGGGGUUCAGUUUUCUCUUCCUGCCGAACCUACUAAUUCCCUUGAAAUGAGUGACCUUAAGAAACACCCGGUCGCCUUUCUCAAACGCUAGAUCUCUCCUCCGGGUGUCCGCAUAACUCUUCUGCCUACUCUGAGCCGUCUGAAUGUUCUUUCUGAUUUUAAUUAUUUUAGACGUGAUCUCCUCUACCAACUCCGGGCCGAACAAUCUUCUAUCGCCCAUUUCUUCCCAACAAAUCGGUGAUCUGCAUGGGCGCCCAUAUAACGCCUCAUACGGAGCCAUGCCGAUACUCGCUCGGUAGCUGUUGUUGUAGGCAAACUCUAUUAGGGGUAGAUGGUCGUCCCAAUAGCCCCCAGAGUCAAGGACAUAAGCUUGAAGCAUAUUCUCAAGUGUACGAAUUGUCCUUUCUGAUUGUCCAUCAGUCUAAGGAUGGAAGACAGUACUGAGAGACAGUUUUGUUCCCAUGCCUUGCUGAAAACUACUCUAAAACCGAGAAGUGAACCUAGGGUCCCUGUCGGAUACCACUGUCACUGGAACUCCAUGCAAUCUGACUAUUUUCCGAAAAUACAUUCUUGUCAACUUGUCCAAGGGGUCGGUCAUCCUGAUGGCCAAGAAGUAGGAAGAUUUGGUAAACCGGUCAACAAUUACCCAGAUGGCGUCAUGUCCUGAAUGUGCCUUGGGUAAUCCCGUCACGAAGUCCAUGGUGAUGUGUUCCCACUUCCACUCCGGGAUCGGUAAAGGUUGAAGUAGCCCACCUGGGCGUUGUUGCUCUGCCUUGACCUGCUGACAUACUAAGCAUUUAGAUACAAAGUCGGCUAUGUCUCUCUUCAUCCCAUUCUACCAAAACCGGGGUCGCAUGUUUUGGUACAUUUUGGUGCUUUCGGGAUGCAUGACAAACUUUGAGCUGUGGGACUCUGUCAUGAUGUCUCUCUUUAACUCGCUGUCGUCUAGAACACACACUCUGUCUUGGAACCGGAGUAACCCAUCGACAGAUACUCGGAAUUAUGAGCUUGCUCCCUGUUCUGUAUCAAUCUUGCAGGCUACUAGGGCGGGGUCGACUGACUGGGCUUCUCUUAUUCUCUGGAUUAACUCAGGCUGGACUGUCAAGCGACCCAAACAUGUGACUCUCCUCAGGUCCUGAAGUCGAACCUGUUGUGUGGCCCCAAUUUGCCUGCAUUCUGAAACCAUCAAAUGGGCUAAGAUACUUGUACUUUUCCUGCUGAGAGCAUCUGGUACCACGUUACUCUUACCCGGAUGGUAUAAGAUAUCACAAUUAUACUCUUUAAGGAGUUCCAUCCACCUUCUCUGGCGCAUGUUGAGAUCCUUCUGAGUGAAUAUGUGUUUCAAACUUUUAUGAUCGGUAUAGAUCUGAAAGGUCUCUCCGUAUAAGUAGUGGCGCCAGGUUUUCAAGGCGUGUAUGAUUGUGGCAAGCUCCAAGUCAUGGGUGGGAUAAUUCUUCUCAUUAUUCUUUAACUGUCUGGACCCAUAUACUAUGACCUUCUCAUGCUGCAUCAGGACACACAGGACACAACCCAGGCCUAGAUAGGAGGCAUCACUAUAAACUGUAUAUCUCCCCGAUCCACUCGGUAAAGACAGCACGGGUGCAGUAGUCAGCCGUUUCUUUAAUUCUGAAAAACUUCUUUUGCAGUCCUCAUUCUACUCAAACUUGACAUUCUUCUUAGUGAGUUGGGUUAAAGGAGCUACUAGGCUGGAGAAUCCUUCAACGAACCUGUGGUAAUAACCUGUCAUCUCCAGGAAGCUCCGGAUUUUCUUAACUGAUGUCAACUUCUCCCAGCCAAGUACCGCUUCAACCUUUUCGGGAUUCACUAAUACUCCUUCCUUCGAUAUGAUGUGUCUUAGGAAGGCGGUCUGCUCAAGUCAGAAUCCUCACUUACUCAACUUUGCAUAUAACUUCUUUUUUCGGAGGACCUGCAAGACUUGGGCAAGAUGGUGAGCAUGUUAUUCUCUGCUUUUUGAGUAGACUAAGAUGUCAUCGAUGAACACGAUAUCAAAUUGAUCCAAGAACUCUCUGAAGACCUUGUUCAUCAUAUCCAUAAAGAUUGUCGGGGCGUUGGUUAGCCCAAAUGGCAUGACCAGGAACUCAUAGUGUCCGUACCUGGUUCGAAAGGUCGUCUGGGGGAUGUCUUCUGUUCUUAUCUUCACCUGAUGGUAACCUGAUCGCAGGUCUAUUUUGGAGAAGACCUGCGCACCCUGCAACUGAUCGAAGAGGUCAUCAAUUCUGGGAAGGGGAUAUUUGUUCUUGAUUGUAACCUUAUUCAAUCCUCUGUAAUCAAUACGCAAUCUCAAUGUUCCAUCUCUCUUCCUUGUAAAAGUGACUCCGGCACUCCAGGGGGACACACUAUGUCUAAUAAAACUACUGUCUUGCAAUUCAGUGAUCUGUUUCCUCAGCUUUUCCAUCUCAAUGCGGCUCAUGCGGUAAGGAGCAACCGAAAUGGGCUGGGUGUCUGGCUGUAGGUUUAUAGUGAACUCGACUUCCCUGUCCACUGGCAGUCCGGGUAGUUCGUCCGGAAACACAUCUGGAAAGUCUCGGACUACCAGAAUCUCUUGGAUACAAAUUUCCUUCUUGGGCUUGCCUAGUUAGAGAAAAUAGCAAGAUUAAAGUACUAGAAAAUUAAGGAAACUUGCCAUCAAGGAAUAAAUACUAAAUUAUUUUAUUAAUUUGUAAAUGGCUCAUCAUUGGGAGGAUUAAAUACAAUUUUCUUGUUAAAGUAAUCUAUGGUGGCGUGAUAUGCUGUUAGCCAAUCCAUUUAUAAGAUUACAUCAAAAUCCCCCGUGUCUAAACCUAUCAGGUCUACACUUAGUUUCCUAUUUGCUAUCUCCAUGGCACAAACCCUGUAGACAACUUUCCCUAAUAGUGUUUCACCCCCUGCAGGAGAUAUAAACAACAUUGAAUCAAGUUUAUUAGGUGAUACAUUAAGUUUGGAUGCAAAAACAUGUGAAACAAAUAAAUGCGAUGCACCAGUGUCAAAUAAAACAUGAGCAAUAUGGUCACAGAUAGUGUACAUACCAUGUACCACGUCCGGGUCGGCGUCGGCAUCCUGGUAGGUGAGGUUGUAAACCUUGCCCUGAAAAGGAGGUCUUCCUUGGUUCUGGUUUUUCGGACACUCUCUCGCAUAGUGCUGACCACUACCACAUAUGCGACAGGUGUUGUUGAGGCGGUAGCAUGGUCGGUCCCCGUGAUCCCUGCCACAGUGCUGGCAAAUCUUUCCACGUGCUACCCCUGGAGCCUGAGGAGGGGCCUAGAUCACUGGUCUAGGCCUCUUAUUUGGUUGGACCGGCGCAGUAGGUGCUGGUCUGCGGGGUGGAGCUGAGGGUUGGUGACUCCCUGCUGACUGAGGAUGGGUGUUGAAACUCCUCUCCACAAUUUGCGGCUUUGUUAGAACUGCUGAGUAUGUCUUGAGCUCCAGUACCAAUAAGUGUUGCUUGAUCUCUAGGCGGAGGCCCCACUGGAAUCUUCUGGCCUUCCUACCCUCAUCCAUCAAUGUCUCCGGAGAGUAUCGGCCCAGCUCUAGGAACUUACAAGCAUAUUCCGAUACCGUCAUGUUUCCCUAGACCAACUGAACAAACUCCAUCUCCUUCAGGUGUCGGAUGUGCUCAGGGAGAUACUCCGCAUGGAAGGCCGCUAAGAACUGCUCCCAAGUGGCUGGUGUAGGCAGGGUGGUCUGCUUGAGCUCCCACCAACGACCUGCUUCCCCUACCAACAUGUAGGAAGCAAGGGCAGCUCUCUACCCGGGAACCACUCCCAAGGUCUUGAAAGCUCUCUUAGUCUCCGCCAACCAGUACUGGGCAUCUUCGAAAGAUGAUCCCCCUGCAAAAGUGGAAGAGUUCAAUUUCCUGUACCUCUCUAUGUAGUCUGGGUCGAUCAAGGAAUGAGCUGGGUCCCGUGGAAGAGGGACUGGGUCCGGCUGGGGAUAGACUGGGGGGCCCUGUGGUGCCACCUGCUGAUAUGGUGGGAGCACCGGAUUGUACUGUGGUGGUGCCGGGCAGUACGGUGGCUGGGGCACCGGUUCAUACUGCGGCGGUGGUGCCGGGUGGUACUGUGGUGGAGCAGGCUCGUGCCAGGGUGGCUCGGGAUCCGCUUGCUGUAGUGGUGGCUCAACCUGUGGUAGUGGGGGAGGUUCGGGUAACUCCCUUCUCUCCUCUCGACCUUGCUGGGCGGCCAUGAUCCUUUCCAGCAUCUCAAAUAUUCUGUCCACAUCUUCCCGAAGCGAAUCAUCUCCGGCUGCUCGAUUUAGUAGGGGUCUUCCUCUCCUCAAUUCCUUGGACCCUACAUUUCACAAGGAAGAGUUGAGUAAUGAUUUAUCGGUGGGUAUUUCUCUAAGCAUUAUUGUGUAAGGGAUGAGUCCAAAGAACGCGGCUCUGAUACCAACUGUAACGACCCCGGAAAUUUAAAGAAAAUGUAUGUAUUAAAAAGUUCUAAGUGCGAAAGCGAAAUAAAAAUUCUGAUUAACAUCUCUUACACAAUAACCAAAAACGUCUUCAACGUGUGAAAAAAUAAACCAACUAAGGUAAAUACUAGUAAUGAAUGCUAUAAAUAAAAUUAUGAAAUCCUUAGGCGUCUACUCGCCGUCUUCCUGCGGGACGGGCUCGGGAACUAAAUCCUCCUGAUGUGAAAUGGUUAAAUAAGGAAUUGAGUUACACUAGCCCAGUAAAAAUAUCACACUAUCUCACAGUCACAGAAGUAAAGGUUGGUAGAAAACAAAAAACGACCAAUUGAGCAUAAUUUAUAACAAACUCAUUUAUUAAUAAUAAAAACCUUUACUGUCCACUUACCUCAGUGAGUUUCGUGAAAAUAACAUAUGAAAACAAUAACAUUAUAACCAUCAUAAAAUCAUAUACACUUUGUAACGUAACACAUGUUAUACUUUUGUACUUUAAUAAUCAGACAACAAAUUUCCUCUUUUACCAGCCUACUAGUAUCCAUGGGGAUCCAUAGGGGGUCCCCGCUACACGUGAACCAUUAACAUUAAUAACUUAAUUGCAGGACUGUCCCCAUACCCCGUCCGGUAUGGGCGUCUAAAAACCAUGAACUUCAAUAUCCUGUCCGGUAUGAGGGUGAAACGAGCCGUCCCCAUACCCCGUCCAGUAUGGGCGCCAAAUCAUAAAGUUUCCAUACCCCGUCCGGUAUGAGAGAUCACGUUCCCGGUAGGGUUCCCUACGGACCCGGUCCGUCCACCAUCUCUCAGGAUAUCUAGUUAGGCUGUCGACAUUAUCCAGUUAUCAAUUCACAUACAUUUUCUUUAAAUUUUCGGGGUCGUUAUUCAAAAGAACCUCUAUGAAGUCUUUAUUUUGUGAUGCAUGCGAACUUGCUAAACAUAAGAGGAGCUCUUAUCAUUUAAGUAAUAAUAGAAGUAUUGAUCCUUUUAAGACUAUUCACUCUGACGUGUGGGAAACUACUCAGAAUACCUCUCUUUUUGCUCAUUGAUGGUUUGUUAUCUUUAUUGACUGUUGUACUAUAUUAAUAUGGAUUUAUCUGUUAAAAGCAAAAAGUGAUGUAUUUUCAUAUUUUCAAUCUUUUCACAAAAUGAUAUGUACACAGUUUUGUACUAAAAUUAAGAUUCUGUGAACUGACAAUGGUACAGAAUAUAUGGAUAGUAGGUUCCGUGCCUACUUGGAGUCAAAUGAAAUAAUUCAUCAAACAAGUUGUGCCUACACCAAUGAACAAAAUGGGAUUGCUGAAAGAAAAAAUAGACACAUACUAUAGGUAGAUCGGUCAUUAAUAUUCACCAUGAAUCUACCAAAGAGUUACUAGGGAGAUGCAGUUCUCUCAGUUGUGUAUUUUAUCAAUAGAAUGUCUUUGCGGAUCCUGAAUUUUAAAAGUCUUAUGGAGGUUUUGUAAGGAAAAAAUUCCUACAUUGUUCCCUCAAAAAUGUUUGGAUGUGUGUACUUUGUUCAUGCUAUAAAUGUGGGUACACUAUAAUCUAGAGUUCUUAAGUGUGUAUUUGUUGGAUAUUCUUCUACCCAAAAAGGUUAUAAGUGUUAUUAUCCAUCAUUUAGAAAAUACUUUAUAACUAUGGAUGUUAUCUUUAGGGAGAAUGAGUCUUACUUCAACUCAAACUCAACACCUCUUCAGGGGGAGAGUGAGAAAGAAGAAGUGAUACCUAAUUGGGUAAGAUUGAUAAUUAUAUUCAGGGGGAGAAUUCUAUUACAGAAAAUAAUGUUAGACAUCUAGAUAAAUUAGACUUGAAAAUGUAUUCAAUGAGAGAGAAGUCUGAAAAAGUCAUUAUGCAGUAUGUCCCAGGUCAAAAAUCUUCUUUGGUUUUAGAAGAUACUGGUAAGUUAUCUUUCUCUUAUGAUUUAUCAGAUAAACUUAUUGUUAUUAGAAAGGGAACGAGAACUUGUACUAAGCACCCUAUAUCUAACUUUGUUUCCUAUGACUCUAUAUCUCUCUCCUAUAGAGCAUUUGUCUUGUCUGUUUUCUCUGUGUUUAUUCUACAGGAUUGGAGAGAAGCUCUAAAAGAUCCGAAGUGGAAGAAAGUCAUGAUUGAAUAAAUGAGAGCAUUGACAAAAAAUGAAACAUGGGAACUUGUUUCACAUCUACAGGGAAAAAAGAUGGUUGCAAAUGGGUCACUGUAAAACACAAAGUAGACGGAUCGAUCGAAAGGUAUAAAGCUAGAUGAGUGACUAAAGGAUUUACUCAAAUCUAUGGGAUUGACUAUCAGGAGACAUUUGCACCUGUUGCGAAGAUGAACACAAUUAUGAUACUUUUGUCUUGCACAGCUAAUCUUGAUUGGAAUUUACAACAGUUUGAUGUAAAAAAUGCAUUCCUCCAUGAAGACUUAGAAAAAGAGGUGUACAUGAAAAUUUCACAUGGAUUUGAAGAUGAGAGGAUGCAAGGAAAAGUUUGUCAAUUAAACAAGGCUUUAUAUGGAUUAAAGCAGUCUUCAAGAGCAUAGUUUGAACAGUUUAGAACAGUUAUAAUCUCUUUUGGAUAUCAACAAAGUAAUACAGAUCGUACCUUAUUUAUUAAACAUUGUGAGGGUAAAGUCAUUUUUCUCAUUGUUUAUGUGGAUAAUAUUGUGGUGACUGGAGAUGAUACAAAGGAGAUGACUCAGUUGAAGGAACUUAUUGCUCAAGAGUUUGAAAUAAAAGAUUUAGAAACAUUGCGAUAUUUUUUGGGGAUUGAAGUUGGCAGAUCCAAUAAGGGAAUCUUCAUUUUUCAAAGGAACUAUAUCCUAAACUUAUUAGAAGAGACUGGUAUGAUGGGUUGUAAGCCGGCAGAAUCACCUAUUGAGAGCAACCACAAAUUGCAAGCAAGUAGUGGUACAUUAGUUGACUUGGGAAGAUACCAGAGAUUAGUUGGAAGACUUAUUUAUCUCUCACAUACCAGACCCGAUAUAGCAUAUGCAGUUAGUCUUAUGAGCCAUUACAUGCAUGAUCCUCGUGACACUCAUUUACAUGUUAUUUUCCGCAUAUUACAAUACUUAAAGUCUGUACCAGAAAAAGGUCUGUUUUUUUUUAAGUAUGGUCACCUUAAAAUAUAAGCAUUUACAGAUGCCGAUUGGGCUGGUUCUCUAGAUGAUAGAAGAUCACUUACAGAUUACUGCACACUUGUAGGAGGCAACUUAGUCACAUGGAAAAGUAAAAAAUAAAGUGUGAUUGCUCGCUUCAGUGUUAAGGCAGAAUAUAGAGCAAUGUCUCAAAGAGUAUGUGAAGUACUAUAGUUGCAAAAGCUAAUGGGGGAGUUAAAACUACUUAAAAAUGAAAAACUCUGUGUUUUGUGACAAUAAAGCAACAAUUAACAUUGUUUAUAAUUCAGUUCAAUAUGACAGAAUAAAACACAUUGAGAUUGAUCGACACUUUAUAAAAGAGAAAGUGGUUGGUGGUUCUCUAUGUUUAUAUCAUGUAUCUUCUGGCGACCAAGUGGCUGACAUUUUCACUAAAGAACUAUGUAACAAAUCUCUUCAGAAUUUGAUUUGCAAGUUGGGCAUGUGUGAUAUUUUUGCGUCAACUUGAGGAGAGUAUUGAUAAAAAUUUUAUGUUAAGUAAAAUACUAUAUUAUUUAGAAUUGUAAUAGUAUAAUUAUAUCCUAUAAUUAGAAUUUAAAUAAAAUAAAGAUAACUAUUCUAUAUAUAUUUUUUAAAUGUAAAUAAAAUAAGAAAUAAAAAAUUUUAAAUUUAUUUUCUAUAAAAAUUUCAAAGACAUAAGUGAAGAGAUAGUACCAAUUGAGCUAAAUGUUACUGUCGAAGUAUAAGCUUGUUACCUUUGUUGCUGCUCAUAUGCCAAGAGCGUUAUGUUUCCAUCAUGUGCAGUCAACUUAAAUUUCUGAAAAGAUGCUUUAUUUUUCUUGUUAUUGCAGGGCCCUUGCGCUUGCACCUGUCGUUGAUAGAGGAUUGUCAUGGUUCACUGUCAAAUUUAAAUUUGAAUCUCAGGGAAAAGUAAGCUCCACUAGAAACUUCAAAAUCUUCAUGUGUUUUUUUGACUCAAUUCUCAAGCAUCUGCUUUGAUUUUGGCCAUUGCAGGCUUUCAUGGUGGUUGUGGGAUUCUGUUUUGGACUGGCUCUUCUGCUGUUUCUGGUUGUUACACUGCUUUGGGCAUGAAACUGACUUGCUUGGUUUUCCUUUGACUGAUAGCGAAGAACUAGAAAAGCAGACAUGCAUGCUUCUCUGUGUAGAAGUUAGUGCUCAAGACUUUCUUUUCCCAAGUUCUUGUGGGCAUUGAAAAUUUUUCUUGCAACUAUAUCAUGAAAUAAAAAUGGUCUCGCAUAAAAAUUUUUAGGUGAUUUGAUGACACAAAAAAAAUAACAAAUUAAUGUUUGAUUUGUUCCCUCACCGUUUAGAAUCACUAACACUUGUUUUAAGAAAAGAAUCACUCAGAUUAUGAGUAUGCUGGAAGUACAUAAGUUAUUUCGUAACAUUGAGAACAAAUGAAUAAACUCUUGAGUUAUAUCUUUUAUUCAUAUUAUUUCUAAUUUAAAUUGCUAUAUUCCAACUAUAAAUUUUAUAAAGUUAAAUAGAAUUUGCAAUGGAAUUUGUAACUUGCACCUCUAUUCAGAAAUUAUUCAGAAUAAAAUAAUAUUGCUCAUACUUAACCCUGAGUAUGCAAAAUAAUUUGUGCCAAGAAAUUCCACAAGGAGUAAUUCUCUUGUUUAGGACAUCACCCUAAAAAUUUGGAGACUUGUAUUUAAUGAAGUCAAUGGCAGAAAUGGCAUAAGUUACCUUAAUGCAAAUUACACGAGAAUCUGUACAAUCCAAGGGGAAUUUUACAGCAAUUCAUCACCUUUAAAAAGAGUGGAUUCUACUUAGCCUUUCUAAUAUACAGAGAACAAAGCUGCUACAAGCCAACAUUAUAUACAGUUAAGCAUUAAAUGAUCCAACAGUCUUGCGAGUUCAAAGAUUAUAUCAUCAAAGACAAACGGCACUUUCCCCUGCAAAUACAAAUGCAAAAUUUUAAACUUUUGAUCCUAAUAAAAUGCACAAAAUGAUAUGAAUAGAUAAAUGUGUGUGUACAUCUGCGUGAGUAUUCUUAAUCAAGGAGCCAUUCAAGCAGGCCAAAAAGGGUAGUACAGCGCAAAUUUAAAGAAUGUAGUUAUGAGCAACACGAUUACAGUUCUACAAGCAAAAAUUAAACGAAGAUAAGGCAUGUAAACAAACCUUGCAACAUUAGGCUCAAUUAAAAAUGCAUAGCAUACAUUAUUUCUCAUUAAAAUUUAAUUGAGUACUGGUUUGUUAUACCUGUAAAGGUCAAAAUAUGAAGACUUCAGAUUAAAAAAGAAAAAUUAUCUAAGGAAUAUAGAAUUAAACUAUGAUAAUACUAGGUGGGAAUAUCAAGAACCAACACCUACUUACGCUUCCAAUUGAGAUAAUAUGCAUCUUCUAAAUAUCAAUCACACCAUCCGUUAAAAUGUUGGGUUAAAAGUUACCAACAUUUGAGUGCAUUAUAAUAAUCUAGGGCAGCAGCAGUUACUACUGCUUUUGCAGGUGUUACUGCAGCCACUGAAACUUUGGGGACCUUAGUGCAAUAACUAUUAUUACUUAUGGUAAAAUUUUAUACAAGAAUGACAAUGCCGUAUUUUGCCAGAUAGUUUAUUCACAGAUACUAAUAGGGGAUGCACUUUGAUGUUUUUUUAAAAAUUCGAAGUGCACUGGGUCUUCUUUCGCUACAGUAGAUAUUACUGAUCCCAAACUUAUAAGUAUUUUGUUUACCGGUAUUUCUCUUUACUGUAGGGAAGGCUUAGGAAUCCAAAUAGAUGCUUACUUUCUUUGGUAAGAUGGAAAGUUUCUCUUCUACUCGUGCAUCACCAGAUCAGUGCUUUAUUUACACAUUAUUCUUUGUUCUCUCAAGAAUAAUUUAGUCAUUUUGUCAUAAUUAAAAUAGUAAGGUGCAUCACCUUAUUAUUUUAAAAUAUAUAUAUAUAUUAAGGUGGAAAUCACUAAAUAUGCUCAGUGAUCUUUUAAGUUCCUCAGUUAAACUUGAAUUAAUGCUAUUGAAGGCCUCACAGAAUUUAAAAUGUAGAAGAUGGAAAAAGAAAAGGCAUAGUGAAAUGACUGAAGAGCUAGCUACCUGAUAGAAUUGAUGAUAACUCAUUGAAAAUGCUUGAUUUGAGCCACUGAAGUCAUUUUUAUCUUCAAUAGUUGCUUCUGCUUUUUAAGAAUCCUGUAUGCUGUGCUAUAACUUGAACUUGAUCUAAUUCCUAGAUUACAUCAGAGACAUUGAAUUCUGAAAGCAAGCCAGACAAAAAGUGAAGAUUGGUUAAAACAAAAAGGAAAUACAAAAUGAGCUAACACUACUUGGAACAAGGAAUCAACAUUAAAGUCAUACAACUCGGAACUACGUAAAUGCAACAGUUCUAUUGGAGCAGGUAUAAAAUUUUACAAGUCUCUGAAAUCACAAAGAAAAUACUAAAAGAUAGAUAAUGAUCUUAACCCUACUAGUUACUUCAUUGUCACAUAUUUUGCUAGAUCGCAGGUUUUAACUUCCAUAAUCUAACCGUAAUCAAAUGAGAUAAAUCUUAAAAAGGAGCCAAAUUGGCUGUCUAGGAAUUCUUGUACCUACGAGACUAAUAUAGAUUUAUACAUUUAAGAUAGAUUCUNNNAGCUUGGAUAGAAACUACUUCCUUUGGAUGGUGAAAAGUUGUUUGCUUCAUGGGUAAAAAUUUGUUUCCAGCAUCAUCAUUGCAUGUCUCAAGACCACAUGCACCACAAAAGGAUUCCACAUCUGAUUCCUGACAAGAUCAAAUGAAGCUUCUAAAACUCACAAGUAUAGUAAACACAGGAGAUAUAAAUACAUUUCAUCUACUCCAAACAUACAUGCAUCAUUAAGAGCUUGGAUAGCUGUGUGAGAGGAUAUGGAUGAAGUUUAUAGCCAACACCGUUUAUACAUGACAUGGCCAGCACCCGAAACUUUAAAACAAAAGAAAAGGAAACAAACAAGAAAUAGCAUUAGGUAUUCAUUUCCAUGAAGAAAAUAACUCAGUUAUACCAUUGGCAGAUGCCUCUAAGCUAGCAGUGACAAUAUCAACAUAAAACAAUUUGGCACUGAUCUCCAAAUUGAAAUCAAAUUAUCAAAAUAAACAGGGAAAAGGCAUUAGAAGAAGUAAGAGAGCAACAGAAACAACUGAGCCCCUCAUCUCUAGCAUACUUCCUACCCAAUUAAAUUUGGACUCCCAUUUCUCUAAUGCUAAGUUAAGAUAAUCUGGGGUUGCUUACCUGACCUAUCGGUCAGACCCCUCUCUAUUUUGGGGUAGAUGGAACCAUGGACAUCUAACAUCAAAAAAGAAAUAAUCUUUCAAAUACUAGAUGAACCCAAAACUGAUGUUAUUACCUCGUUUAUGUAUGAUUCAACAAUGCAGGACUGUAAAUAUGAUGCCUCAGAAGCUAUAAUACAGAAAAAUUGCUUAUAGUUACCCAUCCUGUACAAUCUGUGACCAAAAACAAAGAAUCUCUCAGUUUUAAUUUAAUUUGAUAUAGACACUAUAUAUAAUAAUACAAUAUAUAUAUAUAUAUAACGUAGCUCAAAGAAAGUAUAAGAAUCUAUUGCUUGACCUACUAUCUCAAAAACUUAAAAGUAUAGGCAUGAACCAAGGUUAAUAUCUAUAUUCAACAGAGAAAAUGAAUCUCAGAAGCAAGUGGAAUCUUUGAUAUUGAUGGGUUACCGUAAAACUUUCCGGGCAAAACACAUUUCUUUGGACUUCAUAAUUGAAGAAGGCAAAUGACGAAACCACAAAUUGAGUGACUCCCCCUGCAGAUAAUGAAACAAAUNNNNNNNNNNNNNNNNNNNNNNNNNNNNNNNNNNNNNNNNNNNNNNNNNNNNNNNNNNNNNNNNNNNNNNNNNNNNNNNNNNNNNNNNNNNNNNNNNNNNNNNNNNNNNNNNNNNNNNNNNNNNNNNNNNNNNNNNNNNNNNNNNNNNNNNNNNNNNNNNNNNNNNNNNNNNNNNNNNNNNNNNNNNNNNNNNNNNNNNNNNNNNNNNNNNNNNNNNNNNNNNNNNNNNNNNNNNNNNNNNNNNNNNNNNNNNNNNNNNNNNNNNNNNNNNNNNNNNNNNNNNNNNNNNNNNNNNNNNNNNNNNNNNNNNNNNNNNNNNNNNNNNNNNNNNNNUUAAUAGCAGAUUACUUAUUCAUACAUGCCUUAGAAUGCAAAUUCAAAAAGUAACCUUUCAAUUAUUGGGAAAUCCAAAUACAAUAAGAUAUAAAUUUUGAGGUAACAUUGGCAAGGAAUAAUCAUAAUUCUUUGUUAUUACUAUACAUGUGGACAAAGCCAAUGAUUUGAGGCUACUGUCUAAUACAUAGGAAGUGACCACAACAUCUAUUGGUGCAUCAACUAUCCCUUAAAGAGGCUGGAAUCAUUGUGGUUCCAGAAACUUGCUACGCUGAUUGUUGACUGCAUUAUAUAAUGGAUAAGUAAAAUACUAGGGAAGAGAAAAAUAACCACAAUAUCCAAGGGUGUGUAGUGCAAUAUUUACUUCAACUCUGGAUAGCAUCUUACAAAAAGUUGAUAAAACGUGAGACUUCUAUAUCCCCUUGGUUCAAGAAAAUUAAUAAAGAAAAAGAAAAAAGAGAAAACAUGGUGGAAAUGAGUAAUGGCAAUGAAACAGACUGUUGAAAUUUACGUCUUUGCCUCAAGCAUAUGCAAAAUUGCAUCCAAAAAAUACCUAUAACAUGAUCAUAAGGUAACACAUGCAUUAUAUAUACAAAAAAAAGGUAAGAGUAUUUCAAUGUUUACCAAAAUGCAAACGUGAUAUUUGCGUUACUUGAGGUAUUAUCCAUUUAACAUUUGGCCACAAAAUGUUAGGAUGGACUUAAUAUAAAACCUCAAAAAUUACAGUUUGUAUAUUCCUCUGUCUUUUAAAGGCUCUAAUAUUUCUCUCUUUUCACCAUGAGUAAAAUAUGUUGCAUAAGUGUCUCAAAGCAUAUUAAAGAAAACAAGUUUAGGUAGCGGAACUGAUCCUUUUGCUAAUGGUAGUGAUAAAGGCUCUUCUACCCCUACUUACGAAGUAUACAUAAAAAUAAAGAAAGAAAGAGAAUCCAACCAUAAUAGCAUGAAUUAUAAAACUGAACCUCAUGAUAGACAAUUAAUAAACUAGUCUACUUUUUUUCCAAGAUGUACUUUCUGUUUUAGAAAAGAAAGAAAGGCAAUUAUAUGAGAAAAAUACCAUUUCCUCAUACAUAUAGAUUGCUUUAUCAUUAACAAUAUUCUGCAUGCUAAGAUCCUGCCUUAUGGAUCUUGUCCUAUCAAAGAUGAACUCAUGAAUCACUUCAAAAGGAUGUUCCUCAGAAUCCAGAAACCCUAAAAGGUAGCUAAUAGUUUUCUCCAGUACUGGGAGAGGCCGCACAUCUGAAAGCUGUAUAUGCUUGGCUGAUAUAUUUCUGCAGAACUAGUAAGAGUAAGAAAAAUGUGAAUCAGUUCCAUCAUGUAAAGGAUUUAUCUGUUACAAUGGCUUAAGCAGAAAUUUAAGGAUUCCUUAUUACAAAUUAAGCAUCAAGAACAUAUACGACUACCAACAAGAAUUAUGAUGCUCCAACAGAAAAAACCAAAGUAUUGGCUUCCAGAAAGUGAAAGAGAGAAUGAAACAUGUUUUGUUUGCUAUUAUAGUCUGUACGUCAAACAAGACCAGAAACGAGUGAAACUUUACCACAAAGAAGCUAGGAGACUAAGGUUGACACUCAAUAUUAAAGCAGUCAAACACACACAUAACUGUAUAUACCAAUUCCCUGUGGUAUUAGUUUCUCCUUUGGAUGCUUGAUCAGUGGAAUUUUAUUAUAGAAGUCAGAUUUUCCAGGAGAUAAGAGUAGACUAGAGAGUAUAAUAGUAACAGUGCGGGAAGAAAAUGAUGUCACUGGAGGCUGCGGACAUAAGAUAAGUACAGGGAGAAAUUCAUAAUGAUUUAUGAGUAACAAAUGGGAAAUAGUAUUGGCAAAGAUUCCAAAUAAGGAAAAAGUAAAACAAGAUUAAAUAUACAGCAAAAUGACUUGGAAAAGAAUGUUUUUUUGAAGCAGUGUACAACCAAAGCCAGUUCCAGAAGGUAAAAUAGACAUAAAAUAUAGAGAUGUAAGAACUGAGUCUACCUUUUUGAUAGCCAGGUCUUCUGAUGUUUUCCUCGGAUUCCCGUUCAACCUCUCAAACACAGACAGAUCCCCCAGCCGCUCGCGUUGGAGCCUUUCACCCUCUACAAAUCGCAAAACCAAAAAUCAUAUAAAGGAUACAUAUUAAGAUACGGUAAAGGCUAAAAAUCCCUUAGCUGCUUUACAAUUUCAUUGCUAACUCUGUUUUUGGAUUCAUCUUCACUACCUCUUCCUCACAGAAACUUCUACACACAAAAACACGCAUGAACAUGCACACAAGCAGAUAAAGGUUUAAAUACGAACAUGCAUACUCCUUUUGCAAUCUUGGGCAGAAAGAGAAGACCUAGAGUGAGAUAACUACUAUCUGGAGCAUAGUAAAUGAAAUCAAACCCAAACAGACUACUUCAAUCACCGAAGCUGACUCACUAAAGUUUAGCCAAUAACAGAAGUGACUCGCCAAUAGUUCAUCGUGGUAAGCCAUAUUAACACAAUACUCACAUCCACAAUUGACGAUUUCUUUGAACCAGCCAUAAAAUAACUCACCUCUAAUUCUCCCUUUUACUCAGCAACCAAACAACAGAUGUAAAAAUUGAAAAAGAAAAUUACAAAGUAGAUUAUAAGGCAAGUGAAUGCCCGUACCUGGGCACAUAAAGGGGCAGGUUCCAACUAUACAAGAAACACAAGUUGAUUUUUUUUCUUCUACUAGUAUAUCUGGUUUUUGUUUGAAUCCAGGUUUCCGUUCAGAGAUUGAAUCGGAAAUGCCUGAAAAGCGAGCGGCGUUGACAGGUCUGGUAGAAGGGGUAAAGCUUGAAUUCCCGGUGAUCUCCGAUGGAACUGAUGAGGUCCUGCGAUAACUUGUUGAAGUGGCAAAAGAAGAGGAUGAGGAAGAACUUCGUCGUGGUUGAGAGCGACGAUGAUGGUGGGUUCCGUCCAUGGCUGCAGAACAAAGAGUGGUUAGAGGAUCGGAUCCUCUUUGGUGCAUGACAAAGUUAUAUAAUUAGAAAUGAUAAAUAAAAGUAUUAAAUUGAUGGUUUUAUUUUUAAAUAACAAAUUUCAGACAGACAGAAAUGUUAUUAAAAAUUUUGUAGAAAAAAUUAAUGAAAUGAAAAGUGAUUAUUUAUAACAUAACGUAAAAUAACUUUCAAAUAUAUGAAUAGAGUUUCAUAUUAUUUAUGUCAUACAUAGAUAUUAAUUAUAAUAUAAUAUAAUCUUCAUACAUAUAAUAAAUACAAUUUGUCUCAGAAGAAAAUUGUGUAUCACUCAUCUAGCUAAGCAGUCAUUAGUAGUAUCAUAAUAAUUUGUUUUCAAUCAACAUAAAUAGUAAAAAAUGAAAUAAUUACAUUAAAAAGUAAAUAAUUAAAGUAUAAGAAAU
rnacentral:lncRNA from 1 species